rnacentral:rRNA from 1 species
AACGAACGCUGGCGGCAUGCCUAAUACAUGCAAGUCGAACGAACUCUUCGGAGUUAGUGGCGCACGGGUGCGUAACGCGUGGGAAUCUGCCCUUGGGUUCGGAAUAACAGUUAGAAAUGACUGCUAAUACCGGAUGAUGACGUAAGUCCAAAGAUUUAUCGCCCAGGGAUGAGCCCGCGUAAGAUUAGCUUGUUGGUGAGGUAAAGGCUCACCAAGGCUACGAUCUUUAGCUGGUCUGAGAGGAUGAUCAGCCACACUGGGACUGAGACACGGCCCAGACUCCUACGGGAGGCAGCAGUAGGGAAUAUUGGACAAUGGGGGCAACCCUGAUCCAGCAAUGCCGCGUGAGUGAUGAAGGCCUUAGGGUUGUAAAGCUCUUUUACCCGGGAUGAUAAUGACAGUACCGGGAGAAUAAGCUCCGGCUAACUCCGUG